UACGAAGGGGGCUAGCGUUGCUCGGAAUCACUGGGCGUAAAGGGUGCGUAGGCGGCGCGGUAAGUCGAGUGUGAAAUCCUCGGAGCUUAACUUCGAAACUGCAUUCGAUACUGCCGUGCUUGAGGACUGGAGAGGAGACUGGAAUUUACGGUGUAGCGGUGAAAUGCGUAGAUAUCGUAAGGAAGACCAGUGGCGAAGGCGGGUCUCUGGACAGUUCCUGACGCUGAGGCACGAAGGCCAGGGGAGCAAACGGG
rnacentral:rRNA from 1 species